GACGAACGCUGGCGGCGUGCUUAACACAUGCAAGUCGAACGGAAAGGCCCUGCUUUUGUGGGGUGCUCGAGUGGCGAACGGGUGAGUAACACGUGAGUAACCUGCCCUUGACUUUGGGAUAACUUCAGGAAACUGGGGCUAAUACCGGAUAGGAGCUCCUGCUGCAUGGUGGGGGUUGGAAAGUUUCGGCGGUUGGGGGUGGACUCGCGGCUUAUCAGCUUGUUGGUGGGGUAGUGGCUUACCAAGGCGUUGACGGGUAGCCGGCCUGCGAGGGUGACCGGCCACAUUGGGACUGGGAUGCGGCCCAGACUCCUACGGGGGGCAGCAGUGGGGAAUAUUGCACAAUGGGCGGAAGCCUGAUGCAGCAACGCCGCGUGCGGUAUGACGGCCUUCGGGUUGUAAACCGCUUUCGCCUGUGACGAAGCGUGAGUGACGGUAAUGGGUAAAGAAGCACCGGCUAACUACGUG
rnacentral:rRNA from 1 species